rnacentral:pre_miRNA from 1 species
UUUCAUGGAUGAGCAAAGAAUGGGGUUUCCUGAGAUGGAUUCUACUCCUGGUGAAGAUACUGUGAA